UAAUCCCCCGAUUCUAUGGUACUCAACAUAGACAUCUUAGACGGAGCAUUGGCUGCUGGGACGCGAGAAAUACGGCCGCCAUCUUGGAGUGGUCAACCGGGAGCAGCAACCAUAGACGGCAACAGCAGCAGAAACAAGAUGCCGGGCUGUUGUACAGCAUAUUCAUGCUCAAAUCGGCGGACCAUCCUUAAUAGGAAUCGGGGGAUUACUUUUCACAAGUAAGAUUUAACAUUACCGUACUAUUGGUUUUAUUUUGUGAAAGGAAUAUUACCAGCAUUUUUGUCUUCGAUAGUACCACUGAAAUCGUAGCCAGCUAGGCUAAUAAACAAGAGUAUGACCAUAAUAUGAUUGCUUGUCAAUGAAAUGAAAGAAAUACUUGAAUAAAUAAAUGAUGAAGAUAAAGAUUGUAAAAGACAAUAGGGAUAAAAGUUAGUUAUGCAUGCUGCCAAUAAAAUUACAGACAAGCAUGUCUACUUUGAGAACCACAAGAUGAGGGUGACCCUGGCUGCACAGACACUGAGUCGCUCCGUGUCAGUGGCUCUCCGCACAAUGAGGGAUCUUUGCUACUCUCAGUUCAAGGACUGCGAGGCAACGGCAGAAUUCAUUGAGGUAAUACAAUUAGUGAUUUAAAGAACCCAGUACCUGUUUCUUCUUUUUAAACUAGUGCAUGCCCGUCCAUCCAUCGAAGUGGUAAAGCUCUGAAAUUUCCUGUAGUACAAAGCAGACUUAUGGAAAGAAGGAAGUCAAGCAAAUACUAAUACUUGCAUUUUUACUUGCAUGUUGAACAUACAGUUUAGAAAUAUGUACCUAAUACCUUAUGAUUUAGAUGCCGCUAUGUCUUUAUAGAUUAUUGACAGGCUGUUUGAUACAAUGAAUGGACGCAAUCCUCGUGCCAAAGGAUACAAAGCUCCCUUGGGUGCUUUUAAUUGGACGGAGAGGAAAGCAUUUUUCUCAAAAGCUAGGGAGUACUUGCUCACUUUGGUGACAAAAGAUGGAACCCCCCUUCACCGGUCUAAGAGGUCAAUUAAAAUAGUGUUUGUUAAGUUCAUGACAUGAGUUCUCCGAUACUCUUAUUUCCUUAUUCAUCGUGUUCCUAAGAUGCUCCGUUGUUCCCUUAUGCAUCGUGUUCCUAAGAUGCUCCGUUGUUCCCUAUAGGGUGUCUUGUUUCGCCAUGAUCAGAGUAAUACAACUUUUUUCUUUUUCAGGUACUUGUCGGUCAUCGGAUUUGUCAUCAAUAUCGACACGUUGAUGCUGAUGAUUCCUGAACUGCUCCAGGUUCAGCGGUAUGUGCUCACCUACAGGUUCAGCCAGGAUCACUUGGAGCUCCUAUUUAACUCAAUCUCAGUCAGGCGGAUGUAAUAAUAAUCCCACGGCAUGCCAGUUCCAGGCCAUCUUCCGUCGUCUGAUGGUUCGGUGUGGUGUCUCACCUAGUGAGACAGGCAAUGUGGCAGCCCAUGAUAACACUGUGUCCCUGUCUGCUGUGGAGAUGUCCUCUGCUGAAACUGCAGAGGACAUCUCCACAGCAGACAGGGACACAGUGCCGACGAUGGCAUAGCGGCAUACAUACAUGUCUUUAUAGAUUAUUGACAGGCUGUUUGUUACAAUGAAUGGACGCAAUCCUCGUGCCAAAGGAUACAAAGCUCCCUUGGUUGCUUUUAAUUGGACGGAGAGGAAAGCAUUUUUCUCAAAAGCUAGGGAGUACUUGCUCACUUUGGUGACCAAAGAUGUAACCCCCCUUCACCGGUCUAAGAGGUCAAUUCAAAUAGUGUUUGUUAAGUUCAUGCCAUGAGUUCUCCGAUACUCUUAUUUCCUUAUGCAUCGUGUUCCUAAGAUGCUCCGUUGUUCUGUUAUGCAUCGUGUUCCUAAGAUGCUCCGUUGUUCCCUUAUGCAUCGUGUUCCUAAGAUGCUCCGUUGUUCCCUUAUGUUAGUUCUGUUCUGAUCAUUUUCCGUGUAUUUAUCUAUAUUAUUUACUGUAAAUAAACAUUCCAUCAGCA